CGAUACGAGUUUGAUCAUGGCUCAGAACGAACGCUGGCGGCAGGCCUAACACAUGCAAGUCGAGCGCGCCCUUCGGGGUGAGCGGCGGACGGGUGAGUAACGCGUGGGAACGUGCCCUUUGCUACGGAAUAGUCUCGGGAAACUGGGGGUAAUACCGUAUGUGCCCUUCGGGGGAAAGAUUUAUCGGCAAAGGAUCGGCCCGCGUUGGAUUAGGUAGUUGGUGGGGUAAUGGCCCACCAAGCCGACGAUCCAUAGCUGGUUUGAGAGGAUGAUCAGCCACACUGGGACUGAGACACGGCCCAGACUCCUACGGGAGGCAGCAGUGGGGAAUCUUAGACAAUGGGCGCAAGCCUGAUCUAGCCAUGCCGCGUGAGCGAUGAAGGCCUUAGGGUUGUAAAGCUCUUUCGUGGGGAAGAUAAUGACUGUACCCCAAGAAGAAGCCCCGGCUAACUCCGUG
rnacentral:rRNA from 1 species